UACGGGGGGAGCAAGCGUUGUUCGGAUUUACUGGGCGUAAAGGGCGCGUAGGCGGCCUCUGCAAGUCGACUGUGAAAUCUCCGGGCUUAACCCGGAAAGGUCAGCCGAUACUGCAGGGCUAGAGUGCAGAAGGGGCAACUGGAAUUCUCGGUGUAGCGGUGAAAUGCGUAGAUAUCAAGAGGAACACCUGAGGUGAAGACGGGUUGCUGGGCUGACACUGACGCUGAGUGCGCGAAAGCCAGGGGAGCAAACGGG
rnacentral:rRNA from 1 species